GGUCUCUCAGCAGGACAGAUGAAGAGGGAUUCUUUCCUUAGUACCCACGGCAUGUUUUAUGAUUCAGCCACCAUUGUUCGACAUGCCUCCUCGAAAGUGCUAUUCCCUCAGUCUUCUUCAAGGGUCAUUGCAUUGUUUAUCGUAAGUUUCUGAUCUUAUUUGCUGCAAAAUCAAUUCAGUUAAAACCCCAUAGAUCGUGUUAAUUCUCUUCCAUAUGAAGAAAAUAGCUCAAAGACCAGAUAAAAGAGCUCACUAUUUGCUUCCUACCUCCUUAGAAGGUAUAUGGUGGAGAAAAAAAAUGGUCUCUGUUGGAAGUACUUCUAAUUCCCCAGAUUGGUGUAUAAACGAGGAAGUUGCAACACAAAAGUAAGUGCAUUAUUUUUAUGUAACUGAAAUACAAGGCAAUUAUUUAUCUAAAUAAACAACAAUGAAUGAAAAAAGUGAGAAGAGCCAACUAAAGAAGAACAAGGAGGUCGGGAGUCCAAGGCUGGGCUUCGAGGUUAGCUUAGUAUAAACAUGCUGUUAAUUGGAUGUAUAACAAAAAGUUAAUUCUCUCCUCGAGAAACUGCAGGUUUUCAAAUCAAUAAUUCUCUCCUCGAGAAACAUACAUGCAUGUUUAAUGUGUUGCUAAUGGAAUCACAUCUUGGCCUUUACCGGCCACAAAAGAGAAGCCCACUUAGAACAAAAUAAUUGAGGGAGUGCUGAUUGAAUACUACUUCGUUGCGUUUGGAUAAACAUGUCAGAAUAUAGACACAUUUAGAUUUACUUAAUGAUGCUUUUGCCAAAGAUUUUGAAAGUGCGAGAAAAAGAAUGAGUUAACUUUGAUAAACAAUAAAAAAUGAAGUGGCAAAAGAGCAAACCUCUUUUCAUCUAGAGUUUGACGGUAAUUAUUCAAUAUUAUCCAGUUGUCUAAAAGAUAAUGAUAGGUUUGGAUAAGGAAAGAAAAAGGUUAAACAAGAAAUUAAACUGGACCAACUUAAAAAAUUCAUGAAAAUGUCUAGUGCCUCGUAUACUGACACCUAAAAGGUGGUAGACUCUUUUUUUUCUUUUUUUUUUUUCUAUGGAUGGGCCAAAAAAUUACGUCGUUAUGUUUAUUCAACUGAAAUUAUAGGGAACCCACUAAUAAUAAUAAAAAAAAGGACCUUCGUUGUAGCUCUAAGGACGUCGGGGAAAUGAUUUAUGAAAAAGAAAAUACUUUGGUGGCAAAUUAUUCACAAAAUGAGUGCUAGUGCCCUACACCUACAGGAAUUUUUAAGAUGUAAUAAAUGAUCCGUAGUUGACAUUAGACCGACUUGGUAUAUAUUAAUCGUACCUUAUGCAAUACUAUUUGGUUACAUCAAUGUUAAGAUGCAUCACAUGUGGUAAAAAAAAACUGGGAAAUGUUACCUUUUGAUCAUGUGAAAUAGACAAUAAUACUCCUAUUAGUUGAUGAACUUGCAACUGUCCCUUUUAAUGAAAUUGUAAUUGAAAUGAAAAAUAAGGGUUCUAUCAAAAAAAAAAAAAAAAGAAGAAGAGUAAGGGUGUUUUUAUCCAUUCACACGAGUAAUGAAGUGAAAAGAAGUGUCGCUACCAAAUAAGGGAGCAGCAUCCAAAUUUCCUGAAAAAGUUUUGAUUCAUCGUCAGCCAAAACUUAUUUAAAAUGAGUGGUAUUCAGUCACCUUUAGCAUAAAUAGUUGAGCCUCUGCAGUAGUUGCAGCGUGAUCUUCGCGAGGAAUCUAAUCCAUUUAGCUUGAUGGACAGCAACUUCAGAAUUGUCUCUAGUUCAAAUUCUUCAAGAACUUGUGUUGGGUUUCAAGUAAGUAAUUUGUGAUGCAUUAUCAGAUAGGAUUAUGACGGUGAUUAACGAGGGAGUUUGAAUUCACACACACAAACACAUAAUUUGAGUUCUGCACUUUCCACGAAGCAAGAAUCUUAUCAGUGGAGAGGAAAGACCAAUCUGGAGAAGCAAAGGACAAAAGAUUGAAAUUAUGAUGGAAAACUCCAUGGUGAACAGAUGAUGAUCUCCAGGACCUGGUGGAGAGGAAAGGACAAAGAUUGGUAAAAGAAUGGGUGGGAAUAUGGAGCAAUCAUAGAGUGCGUACGUACAGAUUAAGGAGUAGGAUUCUGUAUCCAAAAUGUACUGUACCAAAGAAAGAAGAAACUACUGGGAAACAUUACAAUGAGUUGGAACCACAGGUUGGCACUUGGGCUCC
rnacentral:lncRNA from 1 species